rnacentral:rRNA from 1 species
UGCACAAUGGGCGGAAGCCUGAUGCAGCAACGCCGCGUGAGGGAUGACGGCCUUCGGGUUGUAAACCUCUUUUAGCAGGGAAGAAGCGAGAGUGACGGUACCUGCAGAAAAAGCACCGGCUAACUACGUGCCAGCAGCCGCGGUAAUACGUAGGGUGCAAGCGUUAUCCGGAAUUAUUGGGCGUAAAGAGCUCGUAGGCGGUCUGUCGCGUCUGCUGUGAAAUCCCGAGGCUCAACCUCGGGCUUGCAGUGGGUACGGGCAGACUAGAGUGCGGUAGGGGAGAUUGGAAUUCCUGGUGUAGCGGUGGAAUGCGCAGAUAUCAGGAGGAACACCGAUGGCGAAGGCAGAUCUCUGGGCCGUAACUGACGCUGAGGAGCGAAAGGGUGGGGAGCAAACAGGCUUAGAUACCCUGGUAGUCCACCCCGUAAACGUUGGGAACUAGUUGUGGGGUCCUUUCCACGGAUUCCGUGACGCAGCUAACGCAUUAAGUUCCCCGCCUGGGGAGUACGGCC